AAAAGCUAAAUUGAAAAACCAAAAAGAGGGAAAAAAAUCAAAAACUACACUAUAGAAAGCUAGAACACAGGAUAUCAACAUUGAUAAUUGAAAAUUGUAUAGAGCUUCUACUUCCAUCGCUAUUGUGCAUAUCCAUUACAUCCAAAGUUCCAUGAAUUAGACUAUUUUCCAGCAUAAUUCAGGAAGGGGACAACAGCCCCUUUUAACUAAUGAGAAUGUGGAAGUGUUCAAACAAUGCCACAUUCUUGAACAACUCAACGUCGAGCUGAUUCAAUUUCCUCACACAGCUGGCCAAAAUCUUAAAUUCUCCUCAAAGAUCCGGAAGAACACCACCUCAUUACAAAGAGACAAAACCGUGACCAAAUUCUUUAUCGCAUAAUUAAUUCAGUAUCCACCAACCGUGCAUAAAUUCGUUAGACUUAGGACUAACUUAUUGUUUGUACUCUUCCAUUAAGUUCCAUGAUUGUCAAAUACACCCACCUUUUGGUUCUGUUAGUAAAACCUAGUAAGAGUAAGGUCUGCCAACAUAUAAACCUCCUCAAACUCUACCUAUAGGGUCCCACAAUUGGUAGGUUUUGUUUGGUUUUUUUAUGACCGUAGUGUCCGGGCCUUCUUUGACACACACCUCAACUAAUUUCAUGCAUACUUGUCACCUCCUGCCGGUAACACAUGCCAGUAACAGAUACUACAUAACUCUGUCUUAUGCCUCCUUGUAAGCUUCUUGUUGGAAUUUAGAGUGCCGUUACUUUUCAUAAAACCCUACUUUGUCAAAGUAUUAGACUCAUAUGAACCCCAUAGAACGAAACUUAUGUGAAAUAAUUCAUCUAACCGACCAAUCUGAUGUGAUUAGCCUUAGAAUCAACACAUCACAAACCGUACAUACAAUGUUUCAAAACAACGAAAUAGAUACCGUAAAGAAAGCAUAUGUUGAGAAAAAGAAGAGGGUGAAAAGUGGAAACACAAAGAUACAAAUAAUGUAUUAAAGAAAGCAUAUGAUGAGAAAAAGAAAAGGGUGAAAAGUGGAAACACAAAGAUACAAAUAACGUAAAACUCCUAAAAAGUCGACGAGCCUGAGAUUGGAGCUU
rnacentral:lncRNA from 1 species